GCUGGUGUAGCUCAGCAGGCAGAGCAACUGACUUGUAAUCAGUAGGUCGGGGGUUCGAUUCCCUCCACCAGCUCCA
rnacentral:tRNA from 4 species